rnacentral:sRNA from 1 species
AUAAACUUUAAAUAUCAUCAAUAAGAUGGAGUGUAUAGGGUCUGGAUAGUCCAUGUUACUAAUGUGUAUAGGAAAGCUAAUCGCAUAGUGAAUGGAUUUGCAAACUAUGCGUUUUAAUUACUGCUUGGUCUACAUUUAUUUGAUAUUUAUCCAACAGUUGUAAAUCCGACAUUGUUAGAGGAUACAUAUGGAAUGUCGUUUCCACAGAGUGUCCGAGUUAGUUUUUAUGUUAUGAAUAAAUCAUAGGGGCCAUGUGCCCCCUAUACAUUACCAAAAAAAAGAUCAAGUGUAUAAAAUAACAAGAUUGUUUAAUAUGAUGAAAUAUAUAGUUAAAAUGUAUAGUAAAAUUGAAUGUUGUAUGAUUGAAAUUUUAUUUAAUACAAAAAUUACUAAAUUAAAUAUUAGAAAAAAUGUGUGGAUCAAUAUUUACUUUA